UCCCCCUUUUUGACAUCAUCAAACAUUGUCAGCUCCCCCUCUUUCUCUGAAUACGUUUUCUCUUUAGUGUUUCUUCAAACUUAUUGUGCUAAUCAUUAAUGUUUGCUCCCCCUGAAUACAGCAAUCAUUAACCAAAAUAUGCCAUAGAUUACCAUAGAUAUGAAUUAUCAACAAAGAGAAGAUAUAUAAUCAAGAGAUGAUUGACAGCAUAACAAAGAGUAGAUAUAUAAUUUAAAACCAUAGUUGUUUCAAUACAUAUUUCAUAACAUAAAAGUCAGCUAGCUAAUGUCAUUACAUGGCCCAAAAUACAGAUCCUAGAAAGAGCAAGAGACUAACACCUAGGAUCUAGUAAAGCUCAUGACUAGAUGGAUCGGAGUCAUCAGAGAUAGGGUGAGGAGAUGAUGGAUCUCGACCAAGGGUACGUCCUCUACCCCGUCUGCCUCUGCCAUGAGUGGAGGUGCUGGCACGAGCAGGUGAGCGAGAUGAACUAGGAGGCUGAGAACGUUGAGAGGCCAAAGACUAGACUGAAAGAGUGAGUCUAAUGGAAUCAAGAACGUUCAGUGCUCUCGAAACAGACUGAAGCAGAGCAGUGAAUUGAGUAGAUGCAUGCUCACUCGAGCCUCUGAUAUCUCUCCUCAAUAACUCAUAACCACCCUCCAAUGCACCUCUGAGCCUGCCAGCCUCUGCAGUAAGGUCUGUGACCUCAAUAGUGCUCUCCUGUGGCUGAGGAUGGGCCAAAGCUAAGACUUGCCCCUGCAAGUCAAGAACUCUCCCAGUCAGUCUCAAAAUACUGUCCUCGAACUGCUGAAUCCGAAUAGACUGAUCUGAGAUCAACUGAAAUACAGUGGAGAUAUGGAGGAUCAAGGUCUGAUCAGAUGAAUCUAAUGAAGUGGAUCCCGGUGCAAAUGUAGAAGUGCUCCACUGCCGAGAAAGCAAGGAAGCCACACGCUGAGAAAUCUGCUCAAUCUGAUCAUCAGCCAAUCUGAACUCUGAAGGUGGUGCUCUGCUCUCUGGCUGCUGUACUGGUGUGUACCUCCUAGUGAACUCUGAAGGGCCAGUCUCUGGAUCUGAAACAAACUGGAUGUCUGGAGAUGCUGCCCUGAAAUCAUGGAGAGGAGAUGAGGGACCUUCUUCUUCAGCUCUGUCCUCUACUCUGUCCUCAGCUCUCUCCUCAGAACCCUUGAUCC
rnacentral:lncRNA from 1 species